GGGAGGGAAAGAGCCGUCAGGGUGCGAAAAUGAAUCAAUAAGCGAAGAAAAGAGAGGGGGGAAGGAGGAGGAGGAGAAGAAGAAGGGAAAAAAUCACAAGAAACCCCAGAAUCUCAACCGCGCCACGGAAAGUUAAUCAAUAAACUAAUUAACUGCUUGCAAGCUUUGUAAUUGUUUGAUCAGAAGAAUUAGAAUGAGGGUCUGGGGGCUGCCCACGACCCUGGGAUAAGGCCGAAUCGUAGAACUCUUUGCAUUAUUUUUAAAAGAAGAAUUGUUAUUUUAUUUUUAUCUUUUCAAUAGGAAUUUUAUUGUAUUUUUUUGCACCCGUGGGGGGAAAAGGAAAGGAAAUCUCUCUGUCCCUCUCUUUCUCGUCCCCCUACCACACUUCCUCAUCCUCUUUUUUUAAAAAGAAAAUAAUAAUAAUUGAAGGAUUUGGGAGAGAAGCGAGGCAGACGGAAAUGCCGUUCAAUUAAAGCGAGAUUGGAGGGAAAUUUUGUCUCUCAAACUGCUGCCGGCUUUUGAUCUCUUUGUUUCCACGCACACACGACGAAGACGACCAAGUCCAGCUUGGGAUUUUCUGCUCUUUUCCCCCCUUUUCUUUUUUUCUUUGUUUUGUUCCGGCGUGGUUCUCCCCCCCCCCCCGCUUCCCUCCUUUAUUUUUUCUUUAUUUUUGGUGAACAUUCUGAAUUCGAGGCUCGCUCCAGCUUGCUCCUUUUUGAACCAAUGAAGGAACCAGACGCCAUCAAACUUUUCAUUGGACAAAUCCCCCGGAAUUUAGAGGAGAAGGACCUUAAGCCUAUCUUCGAGCAGUUCGGCAAAAUCUACGAGUUGACAGUCAUUAAGGAUAAAUACACCGGCAUGCAUAAAGGAUGCGCCUUCCUGACCUACUGCGCCCGCGAGUCAGCUCUCAAGGCCCAAAGUGCUCUUCACGAGCAGAAGACGCUACCCGGGAUGAACCGACCGAUCCAGGUGAAGCCAGCGGACAGCGAAAGCAGAGGAGAAGACAGGAAGCUCUUUGUGGGAAUGUUGGGUAAGCAGCAGACAGACGAGGACGUCCGGAAAAUGUUUGAGCCAUUCGGGAACAUCGACGAGUGCACGGUACUGCGGGGUCCCGACGGCACCAGCAAAGGCUGUGCCUUUGUGAAGUUCCAGACACACGCAGAAGCACAGGCUGCCAUCAAUACGUUGCACGGAAGCCGCACGUUACCGGGCGCCUCAUCCAGCCUCGUGGUGAAAUUUGCCGACACGGAGAAGGAGAGGGGUCUCCGCCGGAUGCAGCAAGUGGCGAACCAGCUGGGCAUGUUCAGCCCCAUCGCCCUGCAGUUUGGGGUGUACAGUGCCUACACCCAAGCACUAAUGCAGCAACAGGCAGCUCUUGUUGCCACGCACUCCGCCUACCUCAACCCCAUGGCGACGAUGGCCGCCGUCCAGAUGCAGCAGAUGGCCACCAUCAACCCCAACGGCCUCAUCGCCACCCCCAUCACCCCCAUCACAACCUCCUCAGGGACCAGCACGCCACCUGCCAUUGCCGCCACGCCAGUGUCUGCCAUCCCGGCCACCCUCAGCGUCAACGGCUACAGCCCCGUUCCCACGCAGAGCACAGGGCAGCCGGCCUCCGAGGCCAUUUACACAAAUGGCGUCCACCCAUACCCAGCACAGAGCCCAGCAGCCCCCGUGGACCCAUUGCAGCAGGCGUACGCCGGGAUGCAGCACUAUACAGCCGCCUACCCUGCCGCCUACGGACUGGUCAGCCCGGCCUUCCCGCAACAGCCAGCCACCAUCAUCGCCCAGCAGCCGCCUCCACAACAGCAGCAGCAGCAGCGGGAAGGUCCCGAGGGCUGUAACAUCUUCAUCUACCACCUGCCACAGGAGUUCACAGACUCCGAGAUCUUGCAGAUGUUCCUUCCCUUCGGAAAUGUCAUCUCCGCCAAAGUCUUUGUGGACCGGGCCACCAAUCAGAGCAAAUGUUUCGGAUUCGUAAGUUUUGACAAUCCCGCCAGCGCUCAGGCUGCCAUCCAGGCCAUGAACGGUUUCCAGAUUGGGAUGAAACGCCUCAAAGUCCAGCUCAAGAGGCCUAAAGACGCUAACCGGCCCUACUGAACCGGCUGCCCAUCAGGGUGUUGCAAUCAUAUCUUGAGACGACUCUGUUGCUAAGCCAACCCCUUCGCCUGUCGCGAGAGACGUAGCUCCGCCCCCCCUUGUCUGGAGCUUACUGGAGGAACAAAGCCCCCUUGAUGUCUCCCCCUUCCCUCCUGCCCCCUUCCUCUCUUCCUCUGCUCUUCUUCCUCCUCGUAGAUAAUAGGGAAGCCACUUGCUCUCUGAGAUCGAGGGGCACCAAUUUCCUCACUGGCCGGAGACCCGGAAGAUCCCCCUUCAGCUGCGCCAACCAAGCCCCUCUCCGAAGACGGGAUGAGCGAUGAGACGGGCUCACUAUAUAUCUCUCUCUAUAUAUAUCUCCCCUUCUGCCAGCCACAGGGCUUUCCCCACUCCCCACUCCGUCCACUCCAAUCCUUGCCCCCUCCCUCCCCCCAACCCAGCCAAGAAGAACUGCAUUGUGGGAACCGAAGUCACCAAGACAUGCAGCUCAAGAAAGCCCUGCUUAGAAUAAUAAUUUAAAAAGCAAGAUUCAAGGCGGAAGGAAAUUUAGGACAAGGCAAGCUUGGACAGAAGAAACAC